rnacentral:rRNA from 1 species
UACGUAGGGUGCGAGCGUUGUCCGGAAUUAUUGGGCGUAAAGAGCUCGUAGGCGGUGUGUCGCGUCGGCCGUGAAAGCCUGGGGCUCAACUCUGGGCGUGCGGUCGAUACGGGCAUCACUUGAGUUCGGCAGGGGAGACUGGAAUUCCUGGUGUAGCGGUGAAAUGCGCAGAUAUCAGGAGGAACACCGGUGGCGAAGGCGGGUCCCUG